GAGUUUGAUUAUGGCUCAGGAUGAGCGCUAGCGGCAGGCCUAACACAUGCAAGUCGAGGGGUAGUUGUCUUCGGACAAUGAGACCGGCGCACGGGUGCGUAACGCGUAUGCAAUCUACCUUAUACUAAGGGAUAGCCCAGAGAAAUUUGGAUUAAUACCUUAUAGAUAAUAAAAAAGGCAUCUUUUUAAUUAUAAAGAUUUAUUGGUAUAAGAUGAGCAUGCGUCCCAUUAGUUAGUUGGUAAGGUAACGGCUUACCAAGACGAUGAUGGGUAGGGGUCCUGAGAGGGAGAUCCCCCACACUGGUACUGAGACACGGACCAGACUCCUACGGGAGGCAGCAGUGAGGAGUAUUGGUCAAUGGGCGCAGGCCUGAACCAGCCAUGCCGCGUGCAGGAUGACGCAUCUAUGGUGUGUAAACUGCUUUUGUACAGGAAGAAACAUCCCGACGAGUCGGGACUUGACGGUACUGUAAGAAUAAGGAUCGGCUAACUCCGUGCCAGCAGCCGCGGUAAUACGGAGGAUCCAAGCGUUAUCCGGAAUCAUUGGGUUUAAAGGGUCCGUAGGCGGCUUAAUAAGUCAGCGGUGAAAGUUUUUGGCUUAACCAAAAAAUUGCCAUUGAUACUGUUAGGCUUGAAUUUUUGUGAAGUAACUAGAAUAUGUAGUGUAGCGGUGAAAUGCUUAGAUAUUACAUGGAAUACCAAUUGCGAAGGCAGGUUACUAACAAACGAUUGACGCUGAUGGACGAAAGCGUGGGUAGCGAACAGGAUUAGAUACCCUGGUAGUCCACGCCGUAAACGAUGGAUACUAGCUGUUCGGGAGCAAUUCUGAGUGGCUAAGCGAAAGUGAUAAGUAUCCCACCUGGGGAGUACGGGCGCAAGCCUGAAACUCAAGGAAUUUGACGGGGGCCCGCACAAGCGGUGGGAGCAUGUGGUUUAAUUUCGAUGAUACGCGAGGAACCUUUACCAGGGCUUUAAUGUAGUUUGACCGAUUUGGCAAACAGAUUUUUCGCAGACAAUUACAGUGCUGCAUGUCGUCGUCAGCUCGUGUCGUGAAGGUGUCAAGUUAAGGUCCUAUAAUCGAGUCGCUAAACCCUGUGGAUUAAGUUGGC
rnacentral:rRNA from 1 species